UACGUAGGGUGCAAGCGUUGUCCGGAAUUAUUGGGCGUAAAGAGCUCGUAGGCGGUCUGUUGCGUCGGGAGUGAAAACUCAGGGCUUAACCCUGAGCCUGCUUCCGAUACUGGCGGGCUCGAGGCAGGCAGGGGAGAUCGGAAUUCCUGGUGUAGCGGUGAAAUGCGCAGAUAUCAGGAGGAACACCGGUGGCGAAGGCGGGUCUCUGGGCAGUAACUGACGCUGAGGAGCGAAAGCGUGGGGAGCGAACAGG
rnacentral:rRNA from 1 species